rnacentral:ncRNA from 15 species
GGGAAUCCGGUGCGAAUCCGGAACUGUCCCGCAACGGUGUGAAGGGUGCCCAUUCGUGCACCCGGCAGUCCGAUGACC